GAGUGGGUGCGCACUCACUUGGGUUGCGGGCGGCACAUAGGGUAUAGCAUAGCCCUCGGCGGUUACAGUGGACUAAGUAGCCACAUAACGCAUAUAAUUAGUUGGCAUUGUAAUAAUAUUGGAAGAGCUGUUUUAAAUGGCAAAUAUAUUUACUUGACUGACCACGUGGCGUAUGAAUAAUUUUUAAAAUGUGUAACUAAUGAAAGACUGCCUGUUUAAGUAAGAUUUAAAUUCAUGACAACUAUUAUUUAUUAUAAAUGAUUUUGAUUAAUAGAAGGAAAUAUUUAUUUAUAUUUUUAUUUUUUUAUUUUUUUUAUUAUUUAUAUUACAUUUAUUUAUUUAUUUAUUUAUUUAUAUCUAUAAUCUACAAUAUGAUUUUAAACAUCGCAGAGUACUACUGAAAGCAUCUUUAAGAUAGUUAUGCAUCUUUUAAUACCCUUGAAAGUAGCCCACUGUGCAAGCAACACUCAUAUUCCUCAUUCAUCUUGCUCAGCCCGCACAAUUGGCUGCCAAAAGUAUUGCCACACCAGUGUCGGCGACUUCGUCCUUUCACUUGAACGCCGAAAGUGAGGCAGUCUGGCAGCCUCUACUUUUCUGGUCCCCAGUGAGGUUCUUCUUCUUUUUUCAAAUUUAGCGUAUUAACUCAUUAAAUGUUCAAAAGCUCAUUGCCUGCGAAAUGUGCACACAUUUCUGUGAGUGCGAGCGAGGGUGUGAAGUAUGCACAAGUAUAUAACACUUUGGCACCGAGGGGAAGACAGUUUUAAUACCGCUUAAUGGGCAAUCGGGCGGAAGAAGCUUUAAAUAAAUAGAAUUCCUUAUACUCCUAACAAUAUCAAAAUUUUUAAUUAAAUUUAUAAUGACCAUGGAACGCUCGGGCACCUAACAAUGUAGUGGCUUAACUGGGCCUUAUUUCAACACCCUCAACCGCACCGAGUGACCGCUGGCAGCAGUUGUCGUUACGCAUACGCCACGUUGCAUGCGUCUUAAAUAUUUGAUGGCGGAAAUCUGGGGCCCGGCAAAAAUGACAGCUGCGUGUUGAAAAUAAUUAAGGCGCAAUUAUAAUGACCCUGGCCACGAACCGCAGGCACUCAGCACCACCCAUCAGCACCGUUGAAGCCACCCCCAUCCGCUCGCCUGUUGGCAUUGCAAUGUGUUGCAUGCAACACUAGACUUUGUGGCGUCGCCAACAAUGACGAAAGCAAUCCAUGGCCAUCGAGCUUGUGCUCUCUGGCAGGUUCUCAUUCCACUACUUAUGCAAAUUGAUGCGAAAUGUGGGCUAAGAUUUAUGCUUAAAUCUUUGGAAGGACAUUCUGCAAAAUAUUUACCCGAAGAGAUAAUUCUAAUAUUCGUAUUCUGUUUGCGGGAAACACGUUUUACUCAAUUUGUUGUUGAACAGCAAUACACGAUCACCGACGACAUCCUUUAAAUAAAUACAAUAUACAAAGUACAAUAAAUAACUAG